GGUGCAGGAGAUGAUGAUGAUGCGCUGCUAAUAUUGGACUUGCCAGGGGUAAGCUCAUUUUCAUACUCAAGAAACAUGCUUGUGGCCCUAACAAGUAACACUACCUGACAUUUUCUUACUCUUAUGCACAUGGACAGUAUGUAUAAUGCCACCUGAAGCAUUUUGGUACUGCAUGUCAGUAUGUGUAAUGAUUUAUUUUUAGUAUUCUCUUUUCAGCAAAGGGUCAUUUUUGUGGCAGCCCAGAGAUAGGAAAACUGUGUCUAGUCAAGACCUGCUUAGCAACAAAGAGUAAGUGGCAUCUCCAGAGAAUUGAAGUUAAUAGAUACUAAAGUCCCCAUGCUACCUGCUUGUUUUAGUGAAAGGACCAAACCAAAUAUCCUUCAUUUUUAGUACUAGUACAUGCCACUCUUAAUUUUUAUAUAACCAUUAAUCUCAAUUGGUGAAGAUUAUUACUCCAUCUGUUCACUUUUGUAAGUCAUUUUAGGCAGCUGAAAUUAAACUGUUUUAAGUGCUGUCCUAAAUGUCUAGGACGUCUUAUAGAAGUGAACGGAGGGAGUAGUAUCAAUCUAUACAAUAGCUUUUUUUCAUCAGUGCUCCCUAGCUGCAUGUCCCAGUUCAGUACACGUGCAUGCCCGCAUGUUUGCUAGCUGCAUGUAUUGUUAUUGGAACAAAUGAUCGGCAUGAAAAAGCUUGAUAUAAGCUACAAAGUAAAUUCCUGAAACUUUGUUCUAAUAUUCAGGACAGGUCUUGAGAGCAGCUGCCAUUGACUUGGAAAAGUUCAGGACUAAAAUUUGAUGUUCAGGAGAAUCAAAUUCAUCGUAAAUAAGGGGCUGCCAUUGACUUGUCCUUCAUCGCAAAGUUCAGGAGAAUCUGAAUGUAUGUUCAGAACUAUGAAAUCUGGUGUUCAAGCACAUGUUCAGGAUGUGAAAUCUGAAACCUGAAUCUGAUGUUUAAGCUAGCAGUGAUGCAUGCUCACUGAAAUUAUGUUAGUUUUAAAACUGCUCGUUGCUGCAUUUGAUAAACUGAAUCUAGCGCUGUAUCAAAUGGACCGAAGAUUUGCUUGUUGCUGCAAGUCUGAAUGUAGUUUUAACAUUGUUCAGGACUGAAAUCUGAAUGUGAAACUGAUACAAAGAUAGCAUUGAUGUAUGUUCAAGCUAGUUUGCACAUGGACACUGAAAUCGU
rnacentral:lncRNA from 1 species